GGUUAGAUCUUGUGCCUGACUGAUGGGGAAGUGAUAUUGAUAAGCGUUGUGAUUUACGUAUGUACAGCUUAGGCUUUUUUUGCCAGCUUUCCUUCCUGUUUUAGGAAGUAGCGACUGUAUUGCGUUUUUCCUGUGAAACCGUGUCCAUGUUCUUCAUAUUUAUGUAGCAUUAUUAUAGUUU